UACGGGGGGAGCAAGCGUUGUUCGGAUUUACUGGGCGUAAAGGGCGCGUAGGCGGUCAGCACAAGUCAGUUGUGAAAUCUCCGGGCUUAACUCGGAAAGGUCAACUGAUACUGUGCGACUAGAGUGCGGAAGGGGCAACUGGAAUUCUCGGUGUAGCGGUGAAAUGCGUAGAUAUCGAGAGGAACACCAGUGGCGAAGGCGAGUUCCUGGACAAGUCC
rnacentral:rRNA from 1 species